rnacentral:lncRNA from 1 species
GAGUUAGCUUUGAAACAUGUGCUUGUAUGCAUAAAUAUGAUAUAGAUUUAGAAGGGCUGGAAGUUCCUUUUUCUUGUUCAUUGAUAAUUGUAAUAAUCCACACAAAGAGAACUUGGAAUGUUAUGUUCAACUUGGAUCACGCAACUGGCUAACGUGCAUUGAAGGGCUGUGCAUCAUCGGCAGUGAGCAUAGAUUUAGUUUAAUCUUUUAGCUUCCUCAAUCUUAUCUUUUAGUUCUGUUUAAUUUUUAGUUCUAGUUUUUUUAAUGAGUAUGGCUGAGACUAGAAUAUCCUGCAGUUGUUUGGAACGUUAUAUGGGCAUAACUUAAUAAGCCACAUCAAGUGUUAGUUUAUGGAAGUGAAAAACAGGUGAGGUUUUAGGUUUUUGCUCGAAGGUGUCAUGUUCUGGGUUUUCUCAGUUUUGGGGGUGAUUGGAAAUAAAGUGUUUCUUUUCCAAUGGCCAUCCAAUCCGUUACUUCUAUCUCUUCUCUUCUCUUCUCUUCUCUUCUCAGUCCUUCCUCUUCUUCUUUCCAUGUCCUCCUUACUUUCCCUUCAUCCAGUUUCCUUGCUGAUAAUUUGAUUUCUGACGUCUUUUAUUUUUAUUUUUUUGCAAAUAUGAAUACUAUUACUUCUAUAUCUUUGCAUACAUGUUGAUGGAGUUCUAAGAACAUGUUAUGAUGCGUUUGGUGGAUGCAGGACUUAGGGAUUUUUAUUAGAUUUAAUUUUUGUUGUCAAUUUAUUAUAUUUUACUUUUACUUUUUAGUUGUUUUCAGUUUUUUGAUAGGUUAUUCGAGGAUGGGUAUUAAAAGGUUUCAGAUUUUAUUUAGCUUGAUGGGUCUAGCUACUGUAAUGAUAUUAUUCACAUGAUGUUGCUUAUGCUAUAGUAACUUUGAGCAGUAAUCAUGCUACAGUAAUUGCGAAUGUUGCCGUUUACUGUUCCAACUUUUUUGGUGUUUUGAUUUUAUUACUUGGUCCACAUUUUCCUGCCGUAACAUCUCUUGUUUGCAUUUAUUCUAUUGCUGGUCAGUCAGUGAUUGUUAUGCAAUGCUGAUUGUGUUGCGAUGUCUUUUUGUGCAG